rnacentral:lncRNA from 1 species
UGAUGUGUCCACUCACCUAAAGGAGGACAUGGCAGCUAUUCAAAGCCCUCCUGACCCUGGAGCACUGCCUCUAAGCUCGCCAUGUAUCCGUGACUCUGACCACAAACUGACCAAGGAGAAAAAAGAGGACGCCAAUGAGUCCUCCCUUGCCACAGAGAUCACUGUAGGCACAUCCAUUGUCCAGGGAGAGGACCUGUUGGGUGAUAAAAGCCCUGCUCCAAGGCUGCCUCCAAGCUUGUCACACAUUUUGGACAAUGACCAUAAGCAGCCAGAGGAGACGAUAGUUGCGCGGGAAGCAGCUGUUUCCGUGUCCACUGUCCUCCAAGAGGAGUUUUUGGCUGGUAAAAGUCCUCCUGCACCCGCAGCACUGCCUCUAAGGCUGCCCUGUACCCACAGCAUUGACCACAAACAGCUAUGGGAGACAGUUGAGGACAACACAGAGCGCUUAGUUGACACAGAGGAAAGUGCAGUUUCAUCCACUGUCAAGAGAGAGGAACUGAUAGGUGAUAAAAACCCUGUCCUAGCACCUCAUCCAAGCCUGGCAUGCAUCCAUGACAAAGACCACAAUGAUCCAAAUCAGAAAGGGAGGGGCACUACUAAGGAGGUGUAUCUCUGCACUCACGCUCACCAGCUGGACCCAGAUGCUAACUUAACUCUGUCAACCCACAAUGAUGAACCCAGGACCUGGACCCUGGAAGAGACAAAGGUAGGUGUCCUAUUUUACACUACUACUUUACAGGGUUGGGGGUCAGUUCCAUUUCAAUUCAAAGCAUUGAAGAGAAUUGGAAUUUUAGAGUUCUUCUUGAAUUGACUGGAAUUGACCCAAACUUGCUGCUCUUUGCUCAUAGUAUGAAACAUCACCCCUCACUAGGG